rnacentral:miRNA from 1 species
AUGGCACUGGAAGAAUUCACGGC